ACUUCAUAUGUGUACUUUGCUUGGACGAACAGCUACAUGUAGGCUUUUUAGGUGAGCAAUCCGCGAGUUCAGUUUGCUCAUAAAGGACUUGCACACAGUU